rnacentral:rRNA from 1 species
AGCAGCCGCGGUAAUUCCAGCUCCAAUAGCGUAUAUUAAAGUUGUUGCAGUUAAAAAGCUCGUAGUUGAAUUUCGGGGUUAGUAGGUUGGUCGUGCCACUGGUAUGUACUGGUUCUACUGAUCCCUCCUUCUUGUAGAACCGUAAUGCCAUUCACUUGGUGUUGCGGGGAAACAGGACUGUUACUUUGAAAAAAUUAGAGUGUUUAAAGCAGGCUAACGCUUGAAUACAUUAGCAUGGAAUAAUGAAAUAGGACGUUCGAUCCUAUUUUGUUGGUUUCUAGGAUUGACGUAAUGAUUAAUAGGGAUAGUUGGGGGCAUUAGUAUUCAAUUGUCAGAGGUGAAAUUCUUGGAUUUAUUGAAGACUGACUACUGCGAAAGCAUUUGCCAAGGAUGUUUUCAUUAAUCAAGAACGAAAGUUAGGGGAUCGAAGACGAUCAGAUACCGUCGUAGUCUUAACCAUAAACUAUGCCGACUAGGGAUCGGAUGAUGUUAAUUUUUUAAUGUACUCAUUCGGCGCCUU